rnacentral:rRNA from 1 species
UACAGAGGUCUCAACCGUUGUUCGGAUUCACUGGGUUUAAAGGGUGCGUAGGUGGGCAGGUAAGUCAGUGGUGAAAUCUCCGGGCUUAACUCGGAAACUGCCAUUGAUACUAUCUGUCUUGAAUACCGUGGAGGUUAGCGGAAUAUGUCAUGUAGCGGUGAAAUGCUUAGAUAUGACAUAGAACACCAAUUGCGAAGGCAGCUGGCUACACGAAUAUUGACACUGAUGCACGAAAGCGUGGGGAUCAAACAGG